CCUCUUUUUAGGUCUAUUGUACGUGGGAAAAUAGGUAAAAUGCUAAAUAAGAAGGUUAGAAUAGUCUUUAUUGAUAGCGCCUUCUUACUGUCACCUUCUGGGUCUUUACUGAGUUGACAAUCUGAUUCUGCAACCCAGGUUCUCUUGAUUUGCUUAUUUAUGCAUCCAAUAAAUAUUUGUGAAUCACCUACCAUAUGGCUAGCAUUUUACCAAGCCCUGGAUAUAUGACAUUGAACACAAAGAAAUGAUGUUUUUUCCAAGUCCACUGAGUAAGGUUUCCUUCUGUGGAACAGGUCAGAAAUGGUUCAUUAAAUCCUUUGUCAGUCAGUUCCAAGGCCACUAUUAUUCUCUUUAGAGAGGAAUCACCCAGAAGGAAUGAAAUCCUGGUGAGGAUUUACUGACAAUGAAGGCUAUCAAGACACUUCAAAGAUAUACUUUUUUUCCCUUUUUUCAGGGAGCAGGUGGAAUGUGGUUGUUCGGCAGUAUCUUCCUUCCCCUGACCUGUGUCAUCACUCUUCCCAAGAUAGACAUAAGAAACCAAAAACUGCUGUGCUGAAGACAAAAACGUGUGUAAUUUAAAGAGAAGUGGGCCAUUUAAAAUUACUGUCUUCCUUAUGCCUAUCAAGUCUCAUGUAAUUUAGGAAAAAUCAUUUCUUUUAGUUCUGUUUUGGGGCUAAUAAUUCUCCUUUGCAAAUAACCACAGAUGUUCUCAAAUGAAACAGUUAUGUGCAUUCCAAAUGAAUUUACGAAUUUAAAGAGUUUUGCUCAGAUAUUCAUUCUGUUGUAUUUAGGGGUCAAACAGAAGUCAACCUGUCUCAGGAAGGAAGCCAACAUUUUAUCUAAUGCAUACCACGUUUCAAUGUUUCAUUCAUGGAGCUCCAGCCGUUAUUUUCUUGCCAUUCUUUCAGCUGCUGCUAAACUGAACCUGACCAAAUAACGUCAACUAUCAGGUUAGUGUGGUCAUGCCACAAGAAUUUCCUGCAUGGCUCUGGUCACAUUUUGGAACGGAUCUAAAAUCUACAAUUUGAAAAGGACAACACAAUAUCUCACAUUAAUAGCACUUAUUUUCUACUUGAUUACCUCCGUAGACAGGGAACUCAUCACAUAUUUACCACCAUUAUCAUCACCCAAUACUACAAUUUACUGAGAACUUACUGUGGGCUGAAUGCUGUCUGUGUCUACCCUUUUUAGUCCCUUCAAAACUUAAUAAGGUAGGUAUUAUCUUCCAAAUUUUAUGGUUGGGGAAUGAAAGAUCAAAUAAAUAAGAAAAGAAAGAAAAACUGACUCACAGUUUCACAAGAGUGAAGAUAAAAUUGAGCCAAAUUCUUUAUGGGUUCUGAGAUUGACUCCUUCCUGGUAACUGAGAAGCCACAAUUACAAGGCUGCGUCAUUUCCACCAAG
rnacentral:lncRNA from 1 species